AGUAGAUGCGGUCGAUCUGUAUACCACUGGUGGGGUGUGCCGCCGCCACGCCACAUCCCACGCUAGUACUAGUAGACGCGUCCUCCUCUCCUCACGCGUGGCCGUGGCCGUGGGAAUACAUCAGCGGCCACAAACAGCGGCCGCCGCAUCUCACGAGGGGUGGGUGAUGGCGCCAUCGAUCGGAAUGGGAAGGGGGGACGGACGAUGGUUGUGCCGCGCGGGCGAUCGAUCGCAGCCGAGGAGAUGAGACGGCCGAUCCAUCGAGGUGGACGCAGCCGAGGAGAUGAGACGGCCGAGAACGAUGGAUGAGAUCCUCGAUCGGCCGUCUCAUCCCAUCCAUCCUUCUAAUUCCCUAGGUUCCGCUCCGCAUAUGGAUGAGGUGAGAUGGAUGAUGGCAUAUGCUGGUUUGGUGGGUUUCUAGUUGUAGAGUAUGUCUAAAGAAUGGUUGUAGAAUAUAUCCAGCCCAUCUAUAUAUAAUAGUUACGGUAACGAUUCUUAGUAAUUUAAGACAUAAAUACCCACUAUAUAUAGCAGUAUAUAUGUUUUAGAUAAUAAUACGCCAAUUGUAAGUAAUUCAAAACAUAGUAACGAUCGAAGUGAAUGGACCGUCGCCAACCCAGAUCCUAUUAUAAGAUUGAAGGUGUGAUUCUGCUGAAAA